GUGGAACUACAUGGAAGACUUCAAGGGCCUUGGAAGGAGGCUGAAGAAAAGGAAAAUCCAAAUGAUAUUGUUGGUGAUCCUUCCAGUCUCAUGAGCGCGAGAUGGCCUGGCCAGGAACCCCUGACCAUUUCUGUGUAACCAGUUUGGCUGGUUCCAGUGACUGAAGCAGACCCAAAUAAAAGAGGCAACACAUCCAUUUUGGAGCCUGUUCUCAAAGGGCUUGAAGUUCUGUUGUGAUGUGGUGUUGCACCUUCUUGGGUGAUGGGCCAGAGAAAAGAGAAGAGGAGGAGGACAAGAAAAGAAUUGUAUCAAAAAGGACUUCAUUUAGGCAAGCCCACAGCUAAACAAGCAAACCUCUGAGAUUCAGAGUGACUCUAAUGAUAGCCUCAAACAUUUCCGUGACAUGUAUCUCCAAAAUCACUUCAAGUGAAGUUCGACAUUUAGCCCAGCUGUACCCUUUUCGUCAAGAAAUAUACUUGUUUUAUAAACAGGCACACUCCACAAACUACU